rnacentral:rRNA from 1 species
GCGAACGGGUGAGUAAUACAUCGGAACGUACCGAGUAGUGGGGGAUAACUGUCCGAAAGGAUGGCUAAUACCGCAUAUUCUCUGAGGAGGAAAGCAGGGGACCUUCGGGCCUUGCGCUAUUUGAGCGGCCGAUGUCUGAUUAGCUAGUUGGUGGGGUAAAGGCCUACCAAGGCGACGAUCAGUAGCGGGUCUGAGAGGAUGAUCCGCCACACUGGGACUGAGACACGGCCCAGACUCCUACGGGAGGCAGCAGUGGGGAAUUUUGGACAAUGGGGGGAACCCUGAUCCAGCCAUGCCGCGUGUCUGAAGAAGGCCUUCGGGUUGUAAAGGACUUUUGUCAGGGAAGAAAAGCUUGAGGUUAAUACCCUUGAGUGAUGACGGUACCUGAAGAAUAAGCACCGGCUAACUACGUGCCAGCAGCCGCGGUAAUACGUAGGGUGCGAGCGUUAAUCGGAAUUACUGGGCGUAAAGCGGGCGCAGACGGUUACUUAAGUCAGAUGUGAAAUCCCCGGGCUCAACCU